GGAUAAUCACUUGAACCCGGGAGGCGGAGGUUGCAGUGAGCUGAGAAUGCACCAUUGCACUCCAGCCCAGGCAACAAGAGUGAGACUCUGUCUGGGAAAAAAAAAAAAGGAAAGAAAAUGUAACUUAAUUUCCUUAAUGCAAAUCUCAACCCAGUAGGCUAAAUAUCAGCAGCUGAGACCCUCAGGCUUGAAAGGAAGGCAGGUGCAGCUGAGGUUUCUUGAACUGCCUGUCUGUGGAACCUUGGGAAGUUGUUUCUGCUUUCUCUUUUGUAAGAAGGAACACGAUUUGCCUUGCUCAUCUCAGGAGGCGCUUGAAUGAAGCAAAUGAAUUGAUGUGAAGGAAAACACUCUGCAAGUUAGGAAAUGGUCCUCAAAAGUAGGGAAGACUCCAGCCACAGCAGUGAGCCCUGGCCGAAAGCUGGGGUGACAUCUCCUGCUUCUAUGCCGGCCCCUCCAGCUUCAGGCUGCACAGCUGGGCUUCCCUUCACAGUGUCCUGUCAGGAUGAAUGGGACUGCACGUGAUGGAGAAGCUUCCAGACUCAAGCUGACUCUUGGUGAUAGUACGUUUAAGGUGCUUUUCUCCUUUCACUUCUUGAGGAUAGCUGCUGAGCAGUCCAGGAUGGAAGGAGGAUUUGUGCUUUUGCCUAUACGUGUCCCUGGGCGUUUCUUCAUUCGCUGUCCUCUUUUAGGAGCUGUACUUGCAGUGGUGGAGCUGGAAGCCUUCUCUAAGGGCAGUGAAGCCGCACACUUAGAGUUUUCAGGUGGGCCGCAUUGACUUAGAUGCAGGUGAGGCCUCUGUGAUGCCCUGAGCCAGCCCAGCUCCAUGCCGGUGCCAGCCAGGCCCGGCCUCGGUUUCGCUCUGCAACAAUGGGAAGGUACCCUUUCCUCCUCAUGAUCCAAAAGUUGCUCUGAAGACGAUGUGACAAAUGUCACCGUGUGAGGGACCUCGUUUGUGACUCUUGUGUUCUAAGACCCACGUUGCUUUAUUGCCUAGAGGUUCCUGAAAGGAGUGCAAGAGCUGGCCUGUGCUUUGGUGGCUGAAGGAAGCUCUAAAGCUCUUCCAUGGAGGGCCCGUGUCAGCCACUCUCCCCUUCAGUUAAGUGACGGAUGGACUUGCCUGGUUUUAGGAUCUUAUUCAGCGGCAUUUCUUCAAGUUUACUCAGACACAAAAAUGAGGAAACUUCACUUUAGAUAAUUGAUCAAGUUUCUUUUCUCCAGAAGCUGUUUUCUUGACAGGCUCAUCCCCAGACGGGCUGCCAUGACCUUCAGGUUCACUGGGCAGGUGAGAGCCAGGCCCCACUGUCAUCGGUUCCUUGAGUGUCCCAGGGAGGCUCAAGGCCUGGGCCGGAGGGUCUGAGUCCGGUGUGAGGUGACCGCGUGCUGUGCUCUGCAGGGCCAGGCCUAGACCCCGACGUCCCAGUCCCAGUCUCUGUCUGCCCAAGUGGGCGGGAGAAUCUGGGGGAGGGAGGGAGAGGCUGCUUCCCAGGCCGUCAUCCCAGCACGGCUUCCUCACUGGGAGGACGCGGCUUGUUCCCAUUUCUGGAGUCAGGCUGUAUGGGCCCCUCCACAAUCUUCAGCGCCGCGUCCCUGCAGGUCCACAUGUCCCCCGCGGGCCCUCCCCUGGUUUCCGAUGCCCAUCACCCAACCUCUUCUGUGUCCUCAGCCCGGGGUGGGGGUGCAGCCCCUGCAGGUGCCUCAGGGUGUCUGUGCUCCCAGCCCUACCCACUGCUCGGUCAAACCUUCACAUCGCCUUCUCUCCUGCGCGCAGCUGGCGGCUUCUAUCUUCUGACCCACCCCAGCGUGCCUACCGGCUUUCCUCACACCUCACUGUUCAGGAGAAGAGGGAAAGGCGACCCUUGCCCCUCCUCUACAUCUGCCCACGGGACCCCCUGGUGACAACCCUGUGGGGAGGGGACAGCAUGGCAGGGCCACAGUGUAGGCCUGGGAAUUAAACUCAGAUCGCUACAGGGAGACCAGACAAAGCCGGGGCAUGGGAGUAUUUAAUGAUUCAUUAAUCCUCAUGUGUUUAGAGAAAGGAUUGUUCAUACAGCUCACCUGGAAAGAAUGUUCCUUGGUGUAAAAGUCUGCUCUAUUCAUAAAAAGCUCCCUUGAACUGACUUUGGCAAAUGCCCAGGACCGGGUUACGUGUCUGAGGAGAGCUUUAUACAAAUAGUACAAACAGCGUAAAAUUUAGCGCCAGUCUGUAACACCCACCCCCAUAUUUUAAUGAACAAUUACUCCAAUUGGAACCAAAUAUUUUAUACCCCCUGGUAAGUUUUCUGCCACCUGCCCGUGAAUGUGCUUCUCCCUGAUCUGCAAUUCUGUCAAACUCUUACGCAGUCUAUUUGCUUACACUGUUUAUGACAGUCACAUCGUGAAACAUCUCUUUGUUUAAUAUCCUGGAAUUACACAAAUCAAGGAUUCUUUUGGCAGGCCUUGUUAGGUAAACAUCCUUAAAGGAGUGGCUUCCAUGGCAGAGGCCGGCGUGGGCUGGAUGCCUUUGUCUUCGUGGUAACAGCACUCAGAGCUGGCGUAUCACGCAUUGCUUUGUAAGUGUCUGAGGAUCAUGGUCC
rnacentral:lncRNA from 10 species